GUUGGUGUAGCUCAGUGGUAGAGUGCAUGCUUUAUAUGUAUGAUGUCCUGGUUUCAAUCCCCAGAUUCUCCC
rnacentral:tRNA from 1 species